GUGGGGCUCUGCAGACAGUGGGCAGCUCUGCCCCCUCUUCUGUUGUGUCCCGGGCACGAGACUCCCUCUCUCUAAGAGUCAGGAGGACCUCAGGCAGGGACACGCGGAGAGAAUGGAUGAAGGAGCAGCAAGCGGAAGCUUCCCACUCGUUCCCCCAGCUCUGGGUGCCUCAGGCGGUCUGGUGUGGGGUGUUUCUUGCACGAGGAAAACAUGGAAAGUGCACCCCGCUGUCCAGCAAGGCUGUCCAGGUGCGAGAGAAGAGAGGCCCCAAGCCGCUCCCAUACAGAGACCAAUGUCACCACGACCCAGGCAGCGAGGGCGCGUGGACCCUAGAAGUCACAUGGAAUCCAGCCCCCGCAGGGCCCUGGAGCGCAAGGGGUGGGGGAG